AUUGAACGCUGGCGGCAGGCCUAACACAUGCAAGUCGAACGAGUGGCGGACGGGUGAGUAAUGUCUGGGAAACUGCCUGAUGGAGGGGGAUAACUACUGGAAACGGUAGCUAAUACCGCAUACCAUCAGCUGUGCCCAGAUGGGAUUAGCGUGUUGGUGGGGUAACGGCUCACCAAGGCGACGAUCCCUAGCUGGUCUGAGAGGAUGACCACACACACUGGAACGGAGACACGGUCUAGACUCCUACGGACUAGAGGAGUGGGGACGAUUGCAGUAUGGGCGCAAGCUUGAUGCAGCCAUGCCGCUUGUAUGAAGUAGGCCUGUUGGUUGUACAGUACUGUCAGCGGGUAGGCGUUACCCGAAUAAGAAGCACCGGCUAACUCCGUGCCAGCAGCCGCGGUAAUAC
rnacentral:rRNA from 1 species